rnacentral:lncRNA from 1 species
GCCUCAGACUCUCAGUUGAUAGUAUCAUAGGCAUGUGCCACCAUGCCGGACAUUAUUUUAAUUUAAAAACUUUGUAAUCAGAUGGAAGGAGGAGGAUCAGGAGUUUAAGGCAAAUUUCAGCCACAUAGUUAACUUGAGGCUAGCUUGGGCUAGAGGUGGGACCUUGUCUCCAAACAGACAGUAAAGUCAAUAAAGACAAAAAAAAAUCUUUUCUCAUUCCUUUCUCACUGUUUAAUUUUGGUUCUGUUUUCUACGAUGUGACCGCUGCCUCAUGUCCCUGCCUUCUUCACUGUGAUGGGUAACCCCCACCCCCAACGAUGAACCAAAAUAAACCCUUCUCUCCCUAGGGUCUGCUCUGACAGGUGUCAAUCACAGGGACAAGUAGAAUAACUAACCAGGCAAUGCUAACUGGCUGCUCGUUUUCUGGAAUGUGAGCCACAGGAGGGUAGGCUCUUCUCUGAUUCAUUCACUGAUGUAGUCAGAGCCUGGGAAUAUGCUAUAGAACACCUAAAUGUAAGAUGCUCAAUAAAUAUUUAUUAAAUCAAUCUCAUUACAACU